CCUACAAGCCCACAAAACAAAUCUGCUAUGUGUGCCAGCGCAUGGGACACCGAUCGGACGUUUUUCCUACCCCGAACAUCAAAAUCUGUCUCGCUUGCGGGACGCACGACCCGAUGGACGACCACGAGUGCUCGCUCAAAUGCGCCGUCUGCGGCGAAGCCCAAGCCACGGGGUCUCGCGAGUGCAAGCAAAAGCUAAAAAACAAGAGCCCUACCACCAAGAAGCAUCCUCCACCCGGAAAGAGGAAGGAAGAAGACGACAAUGAUGGAGGAAGGCCAAGGCGAAGCCGCCUACGGUGGUUCAGCUCGGAAUCCUCGGCGAGCCGCUCGAGGUGCCGGGCCCAGUCCAGGUCACUGUCCCGGUCCCGGUCCCGGUCCCGAUCCCGGUCCCAGUCCAGGUCCAGGUCCAGGUCCCGAUUCCUCUCAGAGUGGCCAAAGCUAGGAGAGAAGCAAGGGCAGCGGCAGCCUUCUACCUCGACAUCCACGUUUAAACAGAAGAACAAAUCGGGCAAGAAGAACCAAGCCAACAACAACAAGGUUCGCUCACGAGCGACUUCUCCAGAGGGUGCUGGAGACCAAGAUCGGCUACCGGAACCACUCCUUCUAUCGUUGGCUUCCGAAACCCCCGCUGACGACUUCCGUGGAGAUACCUUUCUUCAGUUACUUAAAGUUAUACCUAGCUGGCUGUGCCAUUGCGAUUCUAGUUUUCGUAGCAGAACUGAUGUGCAGGUGUCGAAGCGUUCCCCGUCCUCUAGUGAGGGAUGCUAGGCCAACCAAGAGAAUUUGUCGUCUGGUGCGAAGACGAAGGAUUGCGCCGCGAACUAAUGUACUGGUAUUGCGUACUGUUUACAUUUGUUGAUUUACUGCUCUCUUUAUCUUACGUGGCCUUUUGCGAGAGCAUCUUGCCGGUUUAGUUGCUACGUAUUUGGCACGGAAGUGUUGCUGUGCAAAUGAACGCGGCUCAUGCACUUGUACCCAGGCCAUAUUAUCACAAGAUAUUUUCGAUGCUUACUUUCCAUUUUUGCCACUUCUUAUGCGAAUGACUGCUACCGUUUCGUAUCAUCGCGUAUUGCUUAAGCACACCAAAAAUUCUCUUCUGCUUGCAUCAUUGGUUUAUUCAUAGAGCAGCGUAACGUUCUGGGGAGACCGGCGCUGUAGUGGUUGCCGACGUGUCGCAUAUCACAAUCAAUAACUCACUCAAGGAUUGCAACACGAACUAAUGUUUGCGCAGCGUUUCCAUUUGUUGAUGUACUGGUCUUACGUCUGUUUUUGCGAGAGCGUCUUGUCGGUCUACUUGCUGCGUCUUCGGUAUGCUAGUAUUGCUGGGCAAAUUAACGCGACUUACAGACACGUACGCAGGUGGUGCAAUGGGUCAUGGUCUUUUCUCCAAUUAUAUCCAGUGUUUCUGCAGAUUUUUUUAAAGAAGUGCUCCGCGUUGCAUAGCGUAUUGCCUAUUCUCUGUAAGAAUUGAUCUAUCUA